rnacentral:rRNA from 1 species
CCUACGGGAGGCAGCAGUGAGGAAUAUUGGUCAAUGGGCGAGAGCCUGAACCAGCCAAGUAGCGUGAAGGAUGACUGCCCUACGGGUUGUAAACUUCUUUUAUAUAGGAAUAAAGUGAUGCACGUGUGGGUUUUUGUAUGUACCUUAUGAAUAAGGCUCGGCUAACUCCGUGCCAGCAGCCGCGGUAAUACGGAGGAUCCGAGCGUUAUCCGGAUUUAUUGGGGUUAAAGGGAGCGUAGUUGGGUUGUUAAGUCAGUUGUGAAAGUUUGCGGCUCAACCGUAAAAUUGCAGUUGAUACUGGCAGUCUUGAGUACAGUAGAGGUAGGCGGAAUUCGUGGUGUAGCGGUGAAAUGCUUAGAUAUCACGAAGAACUCCGAUUGCGAAGGCAGCUUACUAGACUGCAACUGACAUUGAUGCUCGAAAGUGUGGGUAUCAAACAGGAUUAGAUACCCUAGUAGUC